CCUACGGGCGGCAGCAGUGAGGAAUAUUGGUCAAUGGUCGCGAGUCUGAACCAGCCAAGUAGCGUGCAGGAUGACGGCCCUAUGGGUUGUAAACUGCUUUUAUGCGGGGAUAACUCGCGUUACGUGUGAUGCUUUGCAGGUACCGUAUGACUAAGGACCGGCUAAUUCCGUGCCAGCAGCCGCGGUAAUACGGAAGGUUCAGGCGUUAUCCGGAUUUAUUGGGUUUAAAGGGGGCGUAGGCGGACUGUUAAGUUUGCCGUGAAAUGCGGGGGCUCAACCAGGGCACUGCGGCUGAUACUGGCUGGCUUGAGUUCACAGAAGGUAGGCGGAAUUCGUGGUGUAGCGGUGAAAUGCAUAGAUAUCACGAAGAACUCCGAUUGCGAAGGCAGCAUACGGCAGUGCGACUGACGCUGAGGCUCGAAGGCGCGGGUAUCAAACAGGAUUAGAUACCCUGGUAGUC
rnacentral:rRNA from 1 species